UGCGUACAGGAUGUACGCGGGCUGAUAAGGAUGUCGGCCAGGACAUCGCAGGAUGCGAUUCAUCAGGAUGAUGAGCAAGGAAUACAGGGAAUAGGGACAAAAGAGUGGGCGGGUAACCCCCGCCCCUUUUUUC
rfam:Pseudomonas resinovorans NBRC 106553 DNA, complete geonome.